UACGGAGGGUGCGAACGUUAAUCGGAAUUACUGGGCGUAAAGCGUGCGCAGGCGGUGAUGUAAGACAGAUGUGAAAUCCCCGGGCUCAACCUGGGAACUGCAUUUGUGACUGCAUCGCUGGAGUGCGGCAGAGGGGGAUGGAAUUCCGCGUGUAGCAGUGAAAUGCGUAGAUAUGCGGAGGAACACCGAUGGCGAAGGCAAUCCCCUGGGCCUGUACUGACGCUCAUGCACGAAAGCGUGGGGAGCAAACAGG
rnacentral:rRNA from 1 species